UACAGAGGGUGCGAGCGUUGUCCGGAAUCACUGGGCGUAAAGGGCGCGUAGGCGGCUUUUUAAGUCAGGGGUGAAAUCCCGGGGCUCAACCCCGGAACUGCCCUUGAAACUGGAUGGCUAGAGUAGUGGAGAGGCGAGUGGAAUUCCGAGUGUAGAGGUGAAAUUCGUAGAUAUUCGGAGGAACACCAGUGGCGAAGGCGACUCGCUGGCCUGUUGCUGACGCUGAGAUGCGAAAGCGUGGGGAGCAAACAGG
rnacentral:rRNA from 1 species